UACGGAGGAUCCAAGCGUUAUCCGGAUUCAUUGGGUUUAAAGGGUGCGUAGGCGGAAUGAUAAGUCAGCGGUGAAAUCCCUCGGCUUAACCGAGGAACUGCCGUUGAUACUGUCAAUCUUGAGUACAUUUGAUGUGGGCGGAAUGUGUCAUGUAGCGGUGAAAUGCUUAGAUAUGACACAGAACACCGAUUGCGAAAGGCAGCUCACAAAACUGU
rnacentral:rRNA from 1 species